UAGCACAGAGGAGCUUGCUCCUCGGGUGACGAGUGGCGGACGGGUGAGUAAUGUCUGGGGAUCUGCCCGAUGGAGGGGGAUAACCACUGGAAACGGUGGCUAAUACCGCAUAACGUCGCAAGACCAAAGUGGGGGACCUUCGGGCCUCACACCAUCGGAUGAACCCAGAUGGGAUUAGCUAGUAGGUGGGGUAACGGCUCACCUAGGCGACGAUCCCUAGCUGGUCUGAGAGGAUGACCAGCCACACUGGAACUGAGACACGGUCCAGACUCCUACGGGAGGCAGCAGUGGGGAAUAUUGCACAAUGGGCGCAAGCCUGAUGCAGCCAUGCCGCGUGUAUGAAGAAGGCCUUCGGGUUGUAAAGUACUUUCAGCGGGGAGGAAGGGGACGAGGUUAAUAACCUCGUUCAUUGACGUUACCCGCAGAAGAAGCACCGGCUAACUCCGUGCCAGCAGCCGCGGUAAUACGGAGGGUGCAAGCGUUAAUCGGAAUUACUGGGCGUAAAGCGCACGCAGGCGGUCUGUUAAGUCAGAUGUGAAAUCCCCGGGCUUAACCUGGGAACUGCAUUUGAAACUGGCAGGCUUGAGUCUUGUACAGGGGGGUAGAAUU
rnacentral:rRNA from 1 species